CCUGGCGCCGCCGAACCUCCUCGUGCACCCGGCGCGCCUGCUCCAGGGCUUCAUCAUCCUCCCGGGACCUUCAGAGUGACCACAGUGACCACUGACCACUGACCAUCGUCACUGACCACUGACCAUCAUCACUGACCAUCACUGACCAGGAACCCCCCCCUGCCUGAACCUCCUCGUGCACCCGGCGCGCCUGCUCCAGGGCUUCAUCAUCCUCCCGGGACCUGGAGUGACCAGAGUGACCACAGAGUGACCAUGAGUGACCACCAGUGAGCACAGGAAUGGGGGUCACUGCCGGUGGUCCUGCUGGGGUUGGUGGCUCUGAUGUCCCAGGUGGUGUUUGAGGUGUCCCAGGUGGUGUUUGAGGUGUUCCUGGUGGUGUUUGAGGUGUCCCAGGUGCAGUUUGAGGUGUCUCUCAUGUCCCUGGUGGUGUCUGAGGUGUCCCUGGUGCAGUUUGAGGUGUCUGAGGUGUCCCAGGUGCAGUGUGAGGUGUCUCUCAUGUCCCCGGUGGUGUCUGAGGUGUUCCAGGUGCUGUUUGAGGUGUCCCAGGUGCUGUCUGAGGUGUCUCUCAUGUCCCCGGUGGUGCCUGAGGCGUCCCCGGCGCCCCCGGCCGUGCCCUCACCUCAUCCUCUCCUGCUCCCUCCUGAGCCGCUCCUUCUCGCGCUCCACCUGCUCGGCCUGGGCCUUGAGGGCCUUCUCGCGCUCCUCCUUCUCGCGCGCCGCCCGCUUGAACUGCUCGAAGGAGUCGCUCGAGGACUUGGCCGCGGCCGCCGGCGCCGCCGGGUGCUUCUGCACCAGCGACGCCCACGAGCCCAUGUUCUUGAUCUUCAGGUCCUGCGAGAGACAGCGGCGUCACCCCGGGAUCCCCCGGGAUCCCCCCUCCGAGAUCCACCCUCUGUGAUCCCCCGGGAUCCCCCGGGAUCCUCUGGGAUCCCCCGGGACCCUCCGGGACCCUCUGUGAUCCUCCGGGAUCCUCUGUGAUCCCCCGGGAUCUACCCUCCGAGAUCCACCCUCUGUGAUCCCCCGGGACCCUCCGGGACCCUCUGUGAUCCUCUGGGAUCCCCCGGGAUCCCCCCUCCGAGAUCCACCCUCUGGGAUCCUCUGGGAUCCCCCGGGACCCUCUGGGAUCCCCCAGGACUCCCCUGGGACCCUCUGGGAUCCUCCAGGACCCCCGGGAUCCUCUGGGAUCCUCCAGGACCCCCGGGAUCCUCUGGGAUCCUCUGGGAUCCUCCGGGACCCUCUGGGAUCCCCCGGGACUCCCCUGGGACCCUCUGUGAUCCCCCGGGAUCCUCUGGGACCCCCCGGGACCCUCUGGGAUCCCCCGGGACCCUCUGGGACCCUCUGGGAUCCUCUGUGAUCCUCCGGGACCCUCCGGGAUCUUCCGGGAUCCUCUGUGAUCCCCCGGGACCCUCUGGGAUCCUCUGGGACCCUCUGGGAUCCUCCGGGACCCUCUGUGAUCCUCCGGGAUCCCCCAGGACCCUCCGGGAUCCCCCGGGAUCCCCCCGCCGUGGAGAUCCCCUGGAUCCCUCAGCCUGCUGGGACCCCAUGGAAAAGCUUCUGGAACGUUCCGGAUCCAUCCCUGAAGCUCCCCAGGCUCCCAACCCUCCCUCAGCCUGCUGGGACCACAUGGAAAAGCUUCUGGAACGUUCCAGACCCAUCCCUGGAGAUCCCCUGGAUCCCAACCCUUCCUGAACCUGCUGGGACCCCAGGAAAGAACCUCUGGAAUGUUCCGGAUCCAAAUCCUGGAGCUUCUCCAGCUCCCUCAGCCUGCUGGGACCCCAUGGAAGAGCUUCUGGAACCUUCCAGAUCCAAAUCCUGGAGCUCCCCUGGCUCCCAACCCUCCCUGAACCUGCUGGGACCCCAUGGAAGAGCUUC
ensembl:lncRNA